rnacentral:rRNA from 1 species
CAUGCAAGUCGAACGAUGARGCUGUGCUUGCACAGUGGAUUAGUGGCGAACGGGUGAGUAACACGUGAGUAACCUGCCCUCCACUUUGGGAUAACUCCGAGAAAUCGGGGCUAAUACUGGAUAUGACUAUGGCCCGCAUGGGUUGUGGUGGAAAGUUUUUCGGUGGGGGAUGGGCUCGCGGCCUAUCAGUUUGUUGGUGAGGUAGUGGCUCACCAAGGCGAUGACGGGUAGCCGGCCUGAGAGGGCGACCGGCCACACUGGGACUGAGACACGGCCCARACUCCUACGGGAGGCAGCAGUGGGGAAUAUUGCACAAUGGGCGAAAGCCUGAUGCAGCGACGCCGCGUGGGGGAUGACGGCCUUCGGGUUGUAAACCUCUUUCAGCAAGGAAGAAGCGAAAGUGACGGUACUUGCAGAAGAAGCGCCGGCUAACUACGUGCCAGCAGCCGCGGUAAUACGUAGGGCGCARGCGUUGUCCGGAAUUAUUGGGCGUAAAGGGCUUGUAGGUGGCUUGUCGCGUCUGCCGUGAAAACUCGMGGCUUAACCUUGGGCGUGCGGUGGGUACGGGCAGGCUAGAGUGCGGUAGGGGAGACUGGAAUUCCUGGUGUAGCGGUGAAAUGCGCAGAUAUCAGGAGGAACACCCAUGGCGARGGCAGGUCUCUGGGCCGUUACUGACACUGAGAAGCGAAAAGCAUGGGGAGCGAACAGGAUUAGAUACCC